rnacentral:rRNA from 1 species
AAGGUGGGGAUGACGUCAAGUCCUCACUGGCCCUUAUGGUCCAGGGCUACACACGUGCUACGAAUGGCCGGUACAAAGGGCUGCAAUACCGCAAGGUGGAGCGAACCCCAAAAAGCCGGUCUCAGUUCGGAUUGGAGUCUGCAACUCGACUCCAUGAAGUUGGAAUCGCUAGUAAUCGCGGAUCAGCAUGCCGCGGUGAAUACGUUCCCGGGCCUU